rnacentral:rRNA from 1 species
CAGCCGCCGCGGUAAUACGGAGGGAGCUAGCGUUGUUCGGAAUUACUGGGCGUAAAGCGCACGUAGGCGGCUUUGUAAGUUAGAGGUGAAAGCCUGGGGCUCAACUCCAGAAUUGCCUUUGAGACUGCAUCGCUUGAACACGGGAGAGGUGAGUGGAAUUCCGAGUGUAGAGGUGAAAUUCGUAGAUAUUCGGAAGAACACCAGUGGCGAAGGCGGCUCACUGGACCGUUGUUGACGCUGAGGUGCGAAAGCGUGGGGAGCAAACAGGAUUAGAUACCCGUGUAGUCCCUGUCUCUUAUAA